UGGUAAUGGUAUGAUUUUGCUCUAAAUAG
rnacentral:sRNA from 1 species